GAUUUUUCAGUCUUUUAUAUUUUUAAGAUGUAUAAGGAAAAGGGAAAAUAAAAACCAGGUCACUAACCUAUCCUUUACCAUGUGGUAGUUUCGCACUCUGCUCUUGUAAGAUGUGAGCAAGUUGAAGCCCAGAGGAGAGGGCAGAUCCCGAGGUAGUGAUUGCAUUACAGCCUAAGUCCCCUCCCCACCGCCACCCGGUCCCAAAGAUUUCUUGGUCCUGGUGGACUUCUAUGACCCCUGUU